GACGAACGCUGGCGGCGUGCUUAACACAUGCAAGUCGAACGGAAAGGCCCUGCUUGCAGGGUACUCGAGUGGCGAACGGGUGAGUAACACGUGGGUGAUCUGCCCUGCACUUCGGGAUAAGCCUGGGAAACUGGGUCUAAUACCGGAUAGGAGCCAUUUUUAGUGUGAUGGUUGGAAAGUUUUUUCGGUGUAGGAUGAGCUCGCGGCCUAUCAGCUUGUUGGUGGGGUAAUGGCCUACCAAGGCGGCGACGGGUAGCCGGCCUGAGAGGGUGGACGGCCACAUUGGGACUGAGAUACGGCCCAGACUCCUACGGGAGGCAGCAGUGGGGAAUAUUGCACAAUGGGCGCAAGCCUGAUGCAGCGACGCCGCGUGGAGGAUGACGGCCUUCGGGUUGUAAACUCCUUUCGCUAGGGACGAAGCUUUUUGUGACGGUACCUAGAUAAGAAGCACCGGCUAACUACG
rnacentral:rRNA from 1 species